rnacentral:rRNA from 1 species
GACGAACGCUGGCGGCGUGCUUAACACAUGCAAGUCGAACGGAAAGGCCCUGCUUUUGUGGGGUGCUCGAGUGGCGAACGGGUGAGUAACACGUGAGUAACCUGCCCUUGACUUUGGGAUAACUUCAGGAAACUGGGGCUAAUACCGGAUAGGAGCUCCUGCUGCAUGGUGGGGGUUGGAAAGUUUCGGCGGUUGGGGAUGGACUCGCGGCUUAUCAGCUUGUUGGUGGGGUAGUGGCUUACCAAGGCUUUGACGGGUAGCCGGCCUGAGAGGGUGACCGGCCACAUUGGGACUGAGAUACGGCCCAGACUCCUACGGGAGGCAGCAGUGGGGAAUAGUGCACAAUGGGCGGAAGCCUGAUGCAGCAACGCCGCGUGCGGGAUGACGGCCUUCGGGUUGUAAACCGCUUUCGCCUGUGACGAAGCGUGAGUGACGGUAACGGGUAAAGAAGCACCGGCUAACUACGUG